rnacentral:tRNA from 1 species
GGAGAGGUGCCAGAGUCCGGCCGAUCGGGCCUCCCUGCUAAGGAGGUGACGGGUAACCGUCCGUGGGUUCGAAUCCCACCCUCUCCG